rnacentral:tRNA from 1 species
GGUCUCAUGGCCGAGUGGCUAGGCACGGGUCUGCAAAACCCUUUACGGCGGUUCGAAUCCGCCUGAGACCU